UCGUUCGAGUAGUACGCGUCGGUUGAUCGUCGCUUGUCAACCUUCGCUGGCAGAGUUGUGUGUGCGUAAAACUCGCGCGUGUGAGUGCAUAGUGUGCGUGUUUGGCGAGAGGUCGUUUAACUUUUUUCCCCGCUGUUUUCUUUUCCGUUAACUCCGCGAUCGGUGGAAGCGAAGGAUAACCAUCGUGUUUCGUUUUCUUUUUCCUUCUGUUUCGUAGAGAGGGCUAGUCGAUAAUGAAACAAUGCAGAGAAAAGUGAGAGUGAACGUGGCCACGUUCGGCCGGUUUGCCGACAGCGUGAAUCACCAACAGAACCGGCGUUCAUGAGCCCACGCAGUGCUUAAACCGAUGCUCGAUUUCUCUCUUUCUCUUCCCUCUUUUGCUCGUUUUCUUACCCUCUCUUCGUGAUAAAUAUCCCCCUCUUGCACGAAAGUGCUGUUAUACACGCGCGUACGCAAACUAUUUCCACGACUGUGUGACAGAUAUAGCGCACAAAGCGUAACAGGACCAAGACACAUAGAAGCAGUGGCGGUAUAGAGAGGGAAGGAAAGAGAAUCGUGCCAAGCAGGACUCACGUGACAUCGUGGAAAUGUCGACCGAAAAUCAAAACGGUUCCGCCGGCACACAGAGUAACGGCAUAAAGACUUCGAUCAGCGUGUCGUCGUCCGCUAGGACGGUAUCGAACAAUUCGUCGUUUUUGUACAGCAGUAAUUCGAUGUUGAAUCGUGAUAAACCGCGUCAAGUGCCACCACCAACAUUGCCGAAAUAUACGUCCAGCUUUAAUGCCGGUUCCAAUGGCAGCGGCACGACCGAACGAUUGAAUAGAGAUCGCGAAGUCGGUGGUAGUUACAGGCUGGCAGGCCUCGACAGACUUGCCCUCAGGCAGAGGAUACUGGACGGCGAAAAGGCGAACGGCGACGCUACGUCGAUACAGGCGAAGCGUGAGCUGUUCUUCAAAGGCGACAACACCGGAAUAAUAUCAUCGCCGUCUGUACCAUCGGUACCGCCACCCCAACCACCGUCACAGGUUCCACCGUCGGUGAGCACGUCAUCAACGACGACCACGACGACCACGACUCUCGCCUCGCCUAACACAGCGCCGCCAGCCUCCUCGACCGUGUACACCAGUGUCACAUCCACGGCGCCUACCUCCAAGCCACGAUUAUAUCCGUCCACGGGGAUUUUGAAUCAAAACGAUGCAUCGGAGGACAGCAAUAAACGAGAGUCGAAUAGGAGCGAGAACAACAAAGAGACCACUGUCCUGCAUCAUCCACGACCAACGCCGUUGACUAAACCCAAAGAACUCGAUGGAUAUGUAGGAUUCGCGAAUCUACCCAAUCAAGUUUAUAGAAAGGCCGUUAAGAAAGGCUUUGACUUUACUCUCAUGGUUGUCGGCGAGUCGGGAUUAGGAAAAUCAACUUUAAUCAAUUCAAUGUUCCUCUCCGAUAUAUACAGUGCCGAGUAUCCUGGUCCUAGUCUUAGGGUUAAAAAAACUGUAGCCGUAGAGACUAGCAAAGUAUUGUUGAAGGAGAACGGCGUUAAUCUCACUUUGACAGUCGUUGAUACACCUGGAUUUGGUGAUGCAGUCGACAAUAGUAAUUGCUGGGUGCCAGUAAUCGAGUAUAUCGAAUCAAAAUACGAGGAGUUCCUGAAUGCAGAGUCUCGCGUAGUGAGACGACAAAUCCCAGACAGUCGAGUGCACUGUUGUCUCUACUUCGUUGCACCCUCGGGUCAUGGCUUGAAGCCGCUGGACGUCGAGUUCAUGCAGCGUCUUCACGACAAAGUUAACAUCAUACCCGUCAUCGCGAAGGCUGACACAAUGACGCCAGACGAAUGUGCUCAUUUUAAAAAGCAGAUACUGAACGAGAUAGCGCAACAUAAGAUCAAGAUCUACGAAUUCCCAGAAGUGGAGGAAGAAGAGGAAAGUAAAUUGCAUAAACUUCUUAGAGAUAGAGUACCGUUUGCGGUGGUGGGCGCAAACACUGUGGUCGAGCAGGAUGGUAGAAAAGUUCGUGGAAGAAAAUAUCCUUGGGGCAUCGCUGAAGUGGAGAAUUUGGAACAUUGCGAUUUCAUAGCCCUACGAAAUAUGGUGAUCAGAACGCAUUUACAAGAUUUAAAAGACGUAACAAAUAAUGUACAUUACGAGAAUUUCCGGUGUCGCACAUUGGCUGGUGUUGGAGUAGAUGGAAAACCAACAAAAGUUUCCAAUAAUUUGUGCCCCCCAGGAGUGAUGAACAGUUUCAUGACGGUGUGGAAUCCUUUGGCUCAGCUGGAAGAAGAAAAGAGAGAACAUGAUAAUAAAAUGAAGAAAAUGGAAAUCGAUAUGGAACAGGUGUUUGAAAUAAAAGUCAGAGAAAAGAAACAAAAGCUCAAGGAUUCAGAAGCAGAUUUACAAAGAAGGCACGAACAGAUGCGGCGUUCUUUGGAGCAGCAAGUGCGAGAAUUAGAAGAAAAGAGGCGAGCAUUUGAGGCUGAAAAGUUGGCAUGGGAACAGCAGACUGGACACAGUAUUGAAGAAUUGCGUAGACGCAGUCUAGAAGCAAAUUCAAAAGAGACCGUUGAUGGUAAGGAUAAGAAGAACAAGAAGAAAGGACUCUUCUAAUUCAACUCCAUAAAGACAACAUGAAGAGUAAACGUUUCUUAAUGUAACUAACAACGAUUCUUCUUAAAUUCAAUCAUAUUCAAUAUAUGAUCUUUUUAAGAAAAAUUGAAAAGUAUUUCCAUUUAAUAAAUUUACUAGUAAUCUCUUGAUCUACUCUGAAUCUAAUUAUCUUAGUUUAAUGAUUUAAAAUUAUAUCAAUAUUAUGACUGAUACACACAAUACUUUAUAAAAUAUAUGCGAUGAUUUUUUGUAUUUAAACAUAGUAUUCUUUUGUAAUUAUUUGAAGAUAAAGCGUAGUUCAGGAGAUCAGUGGAUGAAUUAAGAGACAAAAAAUGAAUAUGUGUUGCUUAAAUCACGCGGUUGAUGUGUAUACUGUGUAUAUCGCUCCACGUUUGUACAACUUCCUCAUUUAAUGAUGCGUAAACAUUAUAGUUGCAGGAGUGAGAUGAAAGAAUGAUUCUUCUGUCAUAUUCUCGCCUGUGCUUCUUUGCGCUUCCUAUUAUUAAUAUCCAAGAAAAUUAUACUAGCACAAUUUGACUUACGAUAUUGUACAAAAUGUAGACAUAAUCCCAAGGAACAUCAAAAUUCCUUAGCAAGAGUGAUCAAGUGGAUGAUGAAAGAAGAGAUGAUAAAUCUUUAAAUUUGUUUCUUCUUAUCUUGUUUUCUGUCUUCUAUAUACUUCUCAUUUUCUACUAUCUGUUUAUAUUACUUUUCAAUACUUAUAUAAAUAUUCAUGAUUUCGUGUCAUCGUGCUUGUGUUGUCUUUGAUAUUUAUAUCAAUCUUCUUAGUAUCACGAGUUAUUAAUAUAAAUAUAUCAUAAAAAUAUCAGUGUUAAGACCAUAAAGAUCAAGUAAGUUCGUUAUAAAAAAAAUGCUAGAAUCAUGCUGAUAAUUUUGAUCGCUCUUGUGAAAUUGCGUGUACUGUUAAUUUGAGCGCUGUUGCAGGAUCACAUUAUAAUGAAUAAGAAGCUCUUUUUACAAAAAUUCUACACUUGAAAAAUGAAACGCGCGAUGCGUUUAUCGACCUAAUUAGGCGAGAAGGGUUUUUAUGUCUAAAGACAGCAAUAAAUUGUGUCAGUGUUAAAAUAUUCUUUCCUGUCAUGUUUAAAGUGGCGUUAAGGAAUAAUGCAUUUAAUUAUAGAAAAAAAGAAUUGUACAAAAAAGUAUUUGUUUACGUUAAUCAUGUUUUUCCUCAAUGUUUACAUAAUUUCUUCAAAGGACACCGUACACAAAAUAUAUCAUUUACAUUCGCUUUUUUUUCAUUUAACGACUCAACGCGUCAUUUUACGACGGAUGGUUGAAUGUGAUUUUAAAUAAAGCAGUGGCCAUAUAUAUAUAUAUCUAUAUAUAUACACACACAUAUAUAUACAUAUAUACAUAUAAAUAUAUAUUUAUGUAUAAAUAAAGACAAGGAGAUUUUAAGAAUAAGUCCAAUUCGUGUAAAUUUAAGUUGUACCGAUAGUAACGCAAAUUCGAGUAAGAAUAAUUUGUAUAAAUAAAUGUGUUGGAUCGUUCUAAUUCGAGACAGUGCGUCAUCCUUUCGUUCGCUAUGAAAUCAUAAUCAAUCAUCGAAGAAACCAUGCGUGAACUUCAGGAUAAUGCAUAAUUAUAAAAAAAAUAAACGCAUCGUCUCGAAUUCGUCAAGUAUACGUUGUUAUUCGCAAACAAGAAUGGGCAAACAUCAGUUCCUUCAACUUUAUCUUCCUUUUUCUUUACCGACUGCCUAUGUUAACCCAUUAAUUCCCAAAUAUCGAAAGUAUAUUAUUUUCAAGAUAGUACUUAUUGUAAACAAAAAUAUGCGCAAGUAAACUGCAUCGCCGAUAGAUGCAGGAACUUGCCCUGAGGCUUCGCGCUUUUAGGGCCUUUCGAAUUUUGUAUAAGUUAAUUAAAUCAAGUAUAAUAUCGCAUAUAAUGAACUAACGCGUGGUAAUGUAGACACGUGGCCAUACAGCGCAUGGCAAUAUGACGAAAGUUCGCUGUUGAUGGUUUUAGUAGUAUACAGUAUUGCUCAUAAUUAUAAAUGAAGAAGUUUGUGGCCGUAAAAGGCGUAGCAAACUGUUGGGUAUUAGUGGGUUAAUACGAAGUCCUACCUACGAGAGUUUUCUGUGUCGGAUCAGGAUCUUCGUAGUAGAAAAAUCGUUUGCCCAGUCUUGGAUCCGUAUUUCUAAGGUAAUUGUGUGCCAAGUCAAGGAAAUAAGCAUUUUAUAUAAUACGCUAAUACGUGAUCUUCGAAUAUUGUAAAGUAAGAAGAUUCGUACGAUUUCCUUGAAACGUGAAUCAGAAGAAAAAGGAACUUUCAUGUCAACUUGUCGGGAAGAACUACGUGUUACAUUCCUAUUUUGUACGCAGUUUUUCUAGCUGAAACACACCAACACGAUCUUUGCCGUCACCGAUAAUUCGCUGCGAAGCUCAAACAAAUCUCGUCAAUAAUUCGAAAAGCGUGUUAAAAAAAUAAGAGAAAGUUAUAUACGUAGAGCAAUUUAUACAUGCUUGAAAAUCCGUAAAAAAAGAACAUGCUUUUUGAAGUAUUGACGCGUUCGAAUGGAUCGUUCGAUGAGAGACGCUUCGAAUCUGAGCUUUCGAUGUCGGAACAGCAACGAGUACCUUUUAGGGACCGGACACUUUAGUAGCGAUCGAACGAUUCGCAUUUUUUUGCACUGAUAAUGUUAAGCUCAAUUAUUAAAGUUCGAAUAACAUCCACCUGGGCUACGAUAUUUUUGUCUAAAAAUAGCAAAGGGAAAAAACGCCGUUCACAUAUUUUAAGCAAGGAUAAAUUGAGUUUACGGAAGAAAGAAAUCUUUGGAUAAUUCAUCCAAUACAUUCACUUUUUAUAAACGCUCCAAUGGAAACUGUCGAGACGCAUACAUCUGAAGUACAAAGAUUAUAUAACGAAGAUCAUCUUCGAGGAAUAAAUAUCGCAAUCUUCGCCAAGAGUAUGCAAAAACAAGAAAUCGAUGUGUCGUUGAGGUUCGUGUACUUAAUUUCAACAUUAAUUUAAACGCUGGUAAAAAGCUACUUUUUAUGGGAAUCCGAACAUGAAGAGUGCAACGAGUUUGAAGACGUAGGAUCGUAUCGUUUGAAGGAAUCACGCUGGUGGUUCCUUAAGAACAAAAGAAUGUGAAGGGAAAAGGAAUAGUGUAUCUCUCGUUGUAACGAUUGUAUCUAUAUUUAUACUUGAAGUCAUGAGAGAAUAUCAGAGGUUGAUACACUCUUUAAAACUCCCGUGGUAGAGAUGUUCCUUUAACGACAAAAGGUCCUGAGAAAAUUAUUUUCAGAAUAUUUUGCAUUUUUAUUAUUAUUGGACAUUCAUAGCGCCUCGCUUUGUGGCAAAUUUUGAAAGUGCGUUUGUCUUUGAUAAGGGAGCAUUCCACCACGGCAGUUUUUGAACAUGUACCAGAAGUAGCCGGCGAGGAACUCAUACUGCUACGAUGCGUACAGCGUUGAGUCACAGAUUUCAAAUUUAGAAACUUAGAAACUUAGAUUGUUAGAAAGUUAGAAAUUUGGGAAUUUGGGAAUAAGACUUGGAGAUUUAAAUAUUAGGAAAUUUGAGAACUUGAGAAUUUAUGUGCACAGCGUCCUUGCAUUCACAAUUGUCUAUCAUAGACAUAUAUUGUAAUUAAAAUACACUUUUAGCAUUUUGCAUUGGAACUUUACUUCCCACUCCAGGUUAAGAGCACCCUUGAUAGGAUGCUAAACCAAACAGAGAUGCACCGAAAAAACUCUUUGUACGAAUUCUCUCAUGAAUUCAACUAUAAAGAAGGACGGAAAUAAGAGAGAAACCAAUAUACAAAUUAUGCUUAGUUUACAGAGUGAAGCUGUUUGUACGUUUCAGUGUUAUAUCGUGUAGCUGUGUAAGAUAUGGAAAAUUGUCGAAACAGAAGUGUAUCGAUUACUGUAUGUAUGUGUACUUUAAUCAGUGAUGCUUACGAUAUUAAAAUAGUUAUUAAUCGUCAUGGAUCGCGCGAAUCGACAUGUAUCGGUGUGUCAAAAAAAACAGAACAGAACAAGAACAGCAAAGAAAAGGAAAGACUAAGGCGAAAAUAAAUUAAAAAGAAAAAAAAACGAAAAAUUAUAUUUUGCCGUGCCAGACGAAAACAAAAGCUGCCGCCGCUAUCUUGUAGAACACGUAAUAAUAACAAUAUUCACGAAACCACGAUUAGUACAUUAUUAUAAUUCUUAUUAUUAUACUUCAAAAUAAUGUAUUCAGUAAAUUAUAUACAAAAUCAGCAGACCUGUUGCUCCGUUUUGGCCCCCAAGUCUCAUGUUUAAAUGUUCGAUUUUUUUUUAAUUAUUAAAUAGCGUUGGAAUACUUCGCGAGAAGAAACCCGGAACUAUUUUAAAUAUUUGGACUUAAUGGGUUGGAAGGUGCGAUCAAAUACCAUUUCACCGUGUCAUAACACCGAAAAUACUUAUCUCGUUAAAAAUUCGAAAGUUAUGGAAAUGUUCAAUGCAAAUGUAUUUAAAAAUUGACACAUUACUCUUUCUCAAUAAAUAUAUCCAAAAAGUUUAUUUAUAUUAUUAUAAAUAAACGUGCGAUUUGCAUUGCAGUACGGAGUUAUAAUUACUUCAUACCCCAUUAUUUCGUUAAUCCCAUUCGUUAGAAAAAAUUAAAUACAAUGUCAGUAGAAAGGUACGACAGAAGAAUUUAUUAAUUAUAGGCGGGAAUUGUGUCGUUUUUUGUUAUAUAUUUUGUAAGUUCCAUUCACGCGCUCGCAUGAAACCAGAGUGUAUAUCGUAGAAAAGUAAAAUUUCUUGAAAUCGUUUAACAAUAAAUUUCGUACGACUAGUAUACAUUUGCUUCUUUCUAUGGUACCGUUCGCUUUCACGAAAAUUCAUUCCACUCGAUGCUUAUUUUCAUUUGUACCGUUAUAUUACGUCAAACGUGAACGGCCUAACUUGGAUACACAAUCGAAGCUAUCCUCGUAACACCGUCGAUGAAAUUUCUUUUUUCUAAUAAUAGUAUGGAUUAACCCAAAUAAAGAUUUACCAAAAAUUCUAUGCAUCAAAAUACAAAAAACGUUCUUAAAUAUUAUUCUCCUUUGUGUCAAUUUUGAUAUUCAUUUAUAAGAAUUUGGAAUAUUAAAAGUAUUUGCAAGAUGAAAUUAUGUAGCCACGGCUGAAAUGAGACUCAGAUUGUUUUAUAAAAAAUUGAUUUCACACUUCAAAUCACCUCAUACUAAAUAAAAAAUGUAUAAACUUGUCGUAAACUGUUUUUACAAAGUUUUAAUUUGUUAAUUUGACCUUACUCCGCGAAAUAGCAUAACAUGUAACAGUACAAGACGCAAUUAUACAGCACGUGGCUGUGUAAUGUGAUUUUAGAUAUGCGUGACGAUACAUUUAUCACACUUCGUACAAUUUUAAAGGUUCACCCUGCAAACGUUCGCACGGCCCUGGCUAUAUGUCACAUAUUCAUAAAGAGAAUCGAAUGAAUUUGUUAUCCCCACCAAGUGGCGGUAUAACCAGUUGAAUAAGCGGCGGCAGCUCGACGAGCAGCAUUUGCUCGUGGAAUGUUAGUUUGUAAGUUUGAUUUGUUUGAGAGGACUGAUUAUUUAGCCGGUGAAAAGAAAGAAUCAAACAAGCUUGUAAGCACGUGAUAGGAAAUCAUUCGGUGACCGUAAUUUUCACCUGAUGAGUUUCACUUCUAACCUGAAUUUGUUGAGCUAGCUUCUAACAGUGGCAGCGUGUUUGUCCUCGAAGUACAUACUUUCUUAAUUUAAAAACUCGAACUGUGAGGAAAGAAAAGUCGUGAAGUAUUGAAAAUUUGAAAGAUAUCAUUCAUAUCUUAAUAAAAUUAUUGUCGGCAUCAAUUGUCAGGAAGCUAUAUUACACAAAUACCGUAAUAUUUGAAGAACGCCGUUUGAUGCGAAAUCAGUGACCGACCGGUAUCACGUGCGUUUUCAAGUGUAAAAGUAUUUCGUUUUGUCUAUACGUUGUUAUAG